CCAAUAUAAACCUUCUAAAACCUAAAUCCAUCAUUUGAUAAUCCUGGAUUCAAUUCUAAACCCUAGCCUCCCACCCUUCAUUGCAAACCCUCUGGUUCAUCAUCCUCGUGGUCUCAAUUUCUUUUUUUCUUUAUCAAAGAUUGAAGAUAAUCAAAUCACAGGUUAGGGUUCGUUAAUCAAUACAGUCGACACGAUGACACCAUCCUCAACGUCGCUAUGAGUCUUUAGACUGUGAAAUGUUUCUGAAGUAGCAGAACGGGUCGGGACGAGUCGGUAAAUACGAAAGAGAAGGUUGUUAAAGGGAAAACUAAAGUAGAAGAGAUGUGAUCACAACAUUUUGGUCCUAGAAUCGUAUAUAUGUUUUGAAUAUAUCUUUUUAAGAAAGAUAUAAUGUUCGGACCCUCGGAAGAUUGAGUAGCUGGCCAUAAUUGGAGCAGGUCUUAUGUGUAUAGAAGUUUUCUCUUUUUGGUUCGAUAAUAACAAUUGGUUCAAUGAUUGGAGCUGUUACGAGCGGAAGAAUUGCAGACACAAUUGGUCGAAAAGGGGAUUACCCGUAUUAAAUUUUCGAGCUGACACAAAUUUACCGAAAGGGUGUUGGGUGCCAACAUUGUGAAAAAGUGGCUCUAAGACAUUUGCUGUUUAUCCGAUAUCUGUUACAGAUGUCAACAAUAUUAACUGGUCUAUUAAAAGAAGGUGUUAAAUGUUUCGACAUUUUGAGGAGUUACACCGGCAUCUUAAGGAAUAUCCAGAGUAUAAACUUCAUCUCCCACCAAGACACUUUCUGUCAACGGGACUUGAUGUGGAUGUUAUUCAAGAACGUUGCAAACUUCUUGAUAUAUAUUUGAAGAGCUUUAUGCAGUCUCCAACUAUAUCGGGAUGUAUUGAAGUUUGGGACUUUCUUAGUGUUGACUCUCGGGUUUGACUUGUGAUUUAUCUGCUGCUAUAUGUUCUUUUAAAUCUAUUUCUUACUUGUACAUGUUACCUGUUGUGAGACAUAUAGUUUCUCAAACUCUAUAUCCAUCAUUGAAGCACUACCAUGUAAACUUUAUUUAUACCAGUUUUUUAUUUAUUUUUUAAUAUCUA